rnacentral:rRNA from 1 species
AAUGGGGGCAACCCUGAUCCAGCCAUGCCGCGUGCGGGAAGAAGGCCUUCGGGUUGUAAACCGCUUUUGUCAGGGAAGAAAUCUUUCGGGCUAAUACCCCGGGGGGAUGACGGUACCUGGAGAAUAAGCACCGGCUAACUACGUGCCAGCAGCCGCGGUAAUACGUAGGGUGCAAGCGUUAAUCGGAAUUACUGGGCGUAAAGCGUGCGCAGGCGGUCGUGCAAGACAGAGGUGAAAUCCCCGGGCUCAACCUGGGAACUGCCUUUGUGACUGCGCGACUGGAGUGCGGCAGAGGGGGAUGGAAUUCCGCGUGUAGCAGUGAAAUGCGUAGAUAUGCGGAGGAACACCGAUGGCGAAGGCAAUCCCCUGGGCCUGCACUGACGCUCAUGCACGAAAGCGUGGGGAGCAAA